UUGCUAAUAUGUUUAUAAGCUGAUGCUGAAAUCGUGUCCAAGACAUGUCCCAGUAUCAGCAUUAUCAGUCUGACUGAUCUGCUUGCCAAAUUUGAUUUGAUGUAAUCGUGUCGCAUUUUUGAUCUUACAAAUGAUGAUCUACUUUCCUUAUCCAACUCUGUGAAAUCAUUUCCAUCGGGUCAUCUCAUUUUUAUCGUUAGACACCGAGUAGGUGGCACCUUUGUCCGGUGAUUGACAGAGGCUGGCCUUAAUAUGUGCGUUAUCGUGUCCUUGUGUCGUGUGUAGCUUAUCUCUUAUGUGUUCGGUUUACCCCUGAUGUGGUGUUCCUUUGAGAUAACAGUCAAGCCACUGUGCCUUCUGUCCUGAGCACUUCCUCAUGUAUUUUGUAAGCUCACCAAAAGCACUUAGCCCCUACUGUUUCACUUUGUAUUCUUUGGUAAACCGCUCUGUACAUCUCUGUAUCUGAUCCUCUGUUUUGUAGGGGUCAUUUCCAUUUCAUAAAUAAUGAGUGUCAUUCCAUCAUUCAUGUGUGCUGUCACAUCUCCUGUUUCUCUCUCCUUCCCUUUAGCGUAUGCACCACUUAAAAGUUACGUACUAUCUAGCUCCGAGGCCUUUUUAGAAGUUACUUUGAUUUCUAUGAUGUUACUUUGAUGCUGAUGAAAUGAAAUCAAGCUCUUCUGCUCAUAAUUAUUAUUAUCAUUGUUCUUUUUUGUUUCAUGGAAGAAAAAAAAAAGCAAACAGACAAAAAAAAGAAAAGAAAAAAAAUGAACAAAACGUGUCUCUUGAAUGUUGUACAGAUAGAAAUAGAGAUGUUGUGUUUCUAAGGAGAGAUCAAACCGUGAUACCUGCUCUCCAUCGCUCCCUGCGCAGCCAAACUUCUGCAUCAGCAAUGACGUGGCUCUUUUAGGACAGCCGAACUGUGUACAGGGAUCAGGGCAAUAGUAUUGUUUUGUGUGUUUGUGUGUGUGUGCACUGAUGUCUUAAAAAUUAAUAUUUUGUGAAGAUAUACUGACACUGUGAAAUAAGCAUAAAGUAUUCCCAAACAGUGACGCGCUGCUCAAAAAUUCACUACGUUUGACGUGCACUUUUUUUUUUUCCCACCAGAAGUGUGUGAAUUCAUAAAUAUUAUCAAGUGAGAGGGGAGAGGUGGGGACAAGGUCUGGUUUGGUCUUUUCAGUAGCUGACUGCUGUUGGUGGCAGAGGAAGGUGAUCUAACAUAGUAGUGACUAAUAUGAAAUUGUGGACUGAAAAAAAAAGAGUAGAAAAGAAUCAAUAAAAUAAAAUAGUAAAACA
ensembl:lncRNA